rnacentral:lncRNA from 1 species
CUGGCAAAUGAAUUUUAAUCCUGAGAAGUGUUAUGUAAUUCAUAUUUCUAAAAAAAGUAAACCUUCCGUUUUUGAUUAUAUAUUGCACAAUCAUGUUUUAGAAGCAGUAAAAGACAGUAAAUAUUUAGGCGUAACUAUAAGCCAUGAUCUUGAUUGGGGAACACAUAUAAACAAUAUUACCUGUAAGGCAAAUAAAACCUUAGG